rnacentral:sRNA from 1 species
GAGACACGUGAAGAUAGCCACGUAGUGCUU